AAAGUGGGGCCGCCGGGGGCUCUCAGCCCCGGGCCCGCGCCCGCCGGAGACACCACGAACUCUGUCUGAUCUAGUGAAGUCUGAGUUGAUUGUAUCGCAAUCAGUUAAAACUUUCAACAAUGGAUCUCUUGGUUCCGGCAUCGAUGAAGAACGCAGCGAAAUGCGAUAACUAGUGUGAAUUGCAGAAUUCCGUGAAUCAUCGAGUCUUUGAACUCACAUUGCGCCCCCUGGUAUUCCGGGGGGCAUGCCUGUCCCAGCGUCAUUGCUGCCCAUCAAGCACGGCUUGUGUGUUGGGUCGUCGUCCCCUCUCCGGGGGGGACGGGCCCCAAAGGCAGCGGCGGCACCGCGUCCGAUCCUCGAUCGUAUGGGGCUUUGUCACCCGCUCUGUAGGCCCGGCCGGCGCUUGCCGAACACAAAUCAAUCUUUUUCCAGGUUGACCUCGGAUCACGUAGGGAUACCCGCUGAACUUAAGCAUAUCAAUAAGCGAAAGAA
rnacentral:rRNA from 1 species